rnacentral:tRNA from 1 species
GCUGUGGCUGAGUGGCAGAGAAUCUGCCUGGCAUGCAGAAGGGCCCAGGUUCAAUCUCCGACAUCUCUA